AUUCAAUACCCAUAUUGGCUGUAGGAAAAUACUAUAGAAGAAUUUAAUGAGUUUUUUAAACUAUAAAUUAAACCGUUGUUUGAUAAGUUCAUUAGAUACGUCAUUAUUAAUUUAUUGUAAUUUUUAAUUUAUCUAAAAUGUCCCACAAAUGGAAUGUUCUAAAGCGAAUUACAAAUAGUGAUAUAUGCACCUCAUGCAUAUAACUAAGGGAAGGUUUCAUGAGCUAUAAUAAAGCAAUGAAAUAAGGUUGGUGAAUUUCUUUGGAAAAAUAAAAAUAAAUCAACAGGGGGUUUGCCCUAUUUCUUAGGCACAAAUUUGUUGGAUGAGGUGGAGUAAGAAUGAGAGAGCAGUUGGUGAGCAAGUCACCAACUUUCUACUAUACAAGGAUUUCCCUGUGAGUAUUACAAAUCAAACAUAAAAAAAUUGUAUUCUGGUUUUGUACCAUCAUCGUAAUUCUUUUCAAUUUCGAAAGUUAGGAAAUUAGUAAUUAGUUGGCCGCCUAAAUUAUCCAUGCAUAGAAGCAUAAGCAUAAUAUUGGUCCGAGCCGCAAGCAAUUUAGAACCGGAAAGUGGCAGAGCUAUUUUCUUCAGGAAUUUACGCCAAGUCCAUUUUAACUUUCAACCAAAAUGUCAUGAGCAUGUGGCCCGAAACAAGUGAAAUUGAGACAUCCCUGGCAGCCUAUCUAGCCAACAGAACAUCUUUGAAUGCAACGCUAAUUCAUCUUUCAAAGAGAUACCUCCACUUCUCAUGGUAAUCCUCAUAAACCAGCUACCCCAUUUUGCUCCCCACAUGGCAAAACUUCUGGCAAGGAUCCAGGCUCUCUUACAAUAAAUCUCAUUGAAAGCUCAAAUGCCUUACUUGAGGCGACACAACGGAAAAACCCCAUGAAUGAGUGCUUGAAUUGUAGCUCCAUUUGGACUCAAUUUUUGGCCUUCAUCGUCUCUAAAACUUUAAAGUCUUCAUCAACCCUCUUUGCAUUUCAGAACCCAUCAAGUAAGAUUGUAUAAACAAAUUAGGACAAUAACCCAAACCCUUCAUCUGCUUAACCCCUCAUCCACUAAACCGAUCCUACAAACAACCAAAUACUAGGCCCUUUCCUAUAAAGGCAAUCAUCUAAAACACCCUUAACGGAUUGAUUCUUUGCAA
rnacentral:misc_RNA from 1 species